UGGGGAAUCUUGGACAAUGGGCGCAAGCCUGAUCCAGCCAUGCCGCGUGGAUGAUGAAGGCCUUAGGGUUGUAAAAUCCUUUCGCCGAGGACGAUAAUGACGGUACUCGGAGAAGAAGCUCCGGCUAACUUCGUGCCAGCAGCCGCGGUAAUACGAAGGGGGCUAGCGUUGUUCGGAUUUACUGGGCGUAAGGGGCGCGUAGGCGGCUCGAUAAGUCGGAUGUGAAAUUCCGGGGCUCAACCCCGGAGCGGCAUUUGAAACUGUCGAACUAGAGUACAGUUAGGGUAAACGGAAUUCCACGUGUAGCGGUGAAAUGCGUAGAUAUGUGGAAGAACACCGGUGGUGAAGACGGUUUACUGGGCUGUAACUGACGCUGAGGCGCGAAAGCAUGGGGAGCAAACAGGAUUAGAUACCCCAGUAGUCCCUGAGCGGGCUGGCAAGGCGCAU
rnacentral:rRNA from 1 species